rnacentral:tRNA from 1 species
GGCUCGUUGGUCUUGGGGUAUGAUUCUCGCUUUGGGUGCGGGAGGUCCCGGGUUCAAAUCCCGGAUGAGCCC